rnacentral:rRNA from 1 species
AUUGAACGCUGGCGGCAGGCCUAACACAUGCAAGUCGAGCGAGCGGCGGACGGGUGAGUAAUGUAUGGGGACUGCCCGAUAGAGGGGGAUAACUACUGGAAACGGUAGCUAAUACCGCAUACUAUCGGAUAACCCAUAUGGGAUUAGCUAGUUGGUGAGGUAAUGGCUCACCAAGGCGACGAUCCCUAGCGGGCCUGACAGGAUGAUCAGCCACACUGGUACUGAGACAAGGCCCAGACUCCUCCGGAGCUAUCGGUGGGGGAUAUUGCACUAUGGGCGCAAUCCGGAUGCAGCCAUUCCGCGGGUAUGACGCAGGCCCUGGGGUUGUAAGGUACUUUCAGUCGGGAGGCGUUACCGACAGAAGAAGCACCGGCUAACUCCGUGCCAGCAGCCGCGGUAAUAC